CGGUGGAUCUUGUUUUUUGU
rnacentral:miRNA from 1 species